CACCACCAUCCAUCUUCCCCGACCUCUUCCAGCAAGCUAAGAGAAGGCGCUGGGUUGCAUUCCACCUGGGGUCAGAAAUGCAGAACCUGACUUCAAUCCUGAGCUCUCCUCCAAAGCUCCUAGAAUUGUCCUCCUCUCCCCAAGACUCCCAGGCUUCCUAGGGUUGGUUUCAUCCCUUUGCAAGGCUUCAGGGUACAGCCUGACAUCACAGCAUGCCCAGAGUGUGAAGUCACAAGUGGGCCUUGUGCCAAGAAAGUGUCUUUAUUCCUUGUUGGACCCCCCAGAGCAGCCUGAGGAAGGACUGCGGACCCUCAGAGAGAGUCACAGGCUGAGCACAGAAUAUUCAAGCACCUCACUGGUUUCCAUUCAGGAACCAAACAGGGAUCUGGAGGAGGACUGGGGUCAUCUCCCAGGCCAUUUUCCUGCAGGUGUAUCUCACAAGGCCACCAUUCUCUCCAAAGCCACCCUGCAUUAUAAGGAAGAAUUCUCCUAAAACUCCAGUUUUCUAAUGCUGAAGCUUUGUUACUUCAGCAACUACUGUGGCUUGGGAAGAUCUCUUACUCCACUCAAGCUCUGAACCAGUGGAGAGUAUUACAAGGAUUCAACAAGAUGCAGAUCAAAGUUUCCUUAUUAAUAAUAAAACUAUCUAUGCAUGUA